GCCUUUGUGGUGUAGUGGUCAGCACGCUCGGCGCGUAUUCGAGAGGUCCGUGGUUCGAGUCCCGGCGAGGGCA
rfam:Stegodyphus mimosarum contig67548, whole genome shotgun sequence.